ensembl:lncRNA
AUGCAGCCACAGCCACAAAUGCAAAGUGCCGCAGCUGGAGGAAAGUUGAGCUGGAAGGAGGCGGUUAGGGUAGGAAAGCGGGAUGUGGCGCCCCCUACUGACCAUGUCACAGCCGUGGUCAUGGUCAGCAUUGAUAGACCCAAGUCCCCCACCCAAGCUCAGCCGCUUCCUAGUAACCAACCAUUCUACGCCACUGUGGUCACCAGCAUUGUUAGACCCAAGUCCCCCACCCCCAAGCUCAGCCGCUUCCUAGUAACCAACCAUUCUACGCCACUGUGGUCACCAGCAUUGUUAGACCCAAGCCCCCCACCCCAAGCUCAGCCGCUCCCUAGUAACCAACCAUUCUACACCAACGUGGUCACCAGCAUUGUUAGACCCAAGGCCCCCACCCCCAAGCUCAGCCGCUCCCUAGUAACCAACCAUUCUACACCGCUGUGGUCAUCAGUAUUGUUAGACCCAAGCCCCCCACCCCCAAGCUCAGCUGCUCCCUAGUAACCAACCAUUCUACACCAAUGCAGUCAUCAGCAUUGUUAGACCCAAGCCCCCCAAGCCCCUCGAGUCCAGCCUCUCUCCCUAGUGACCACUCCACACCGCCGUGGUCAUGAUCAACACUGUUAGACCCAAGCCCCCUAAGCCCAACCGUUCCCUAGUGACCAUUCCACACCGCCGUGGUCAUCAGCACUGUUAGACCCAAGUCCCCCGAGCUCGGCCGUUCCCUAGUGACGAGGCCACACACCGUGGUCAUUAUCAGCAUUGUUGGAUCCAAGCCCUUCGAGCUCAGCAGUUUCAGACCAGGCUCUGGAAUAUCCCUGCUGACACAGGGAGGAGAGGAGAGGUGGCUGCACAGCCUAACCACUGGCCUCUGGUUUGAAAACUCAUUUCUCUUUGCUAAACCCCAUUUCCUCAUUUGUAAAACAAGGAGCCUGGAAUGAGUGUUUCAACUAAAGCCAAAAGAGAGAGUUGUGCUGCAAGCGCCCAGCUCUGUGCAUGGGGUUAAUUUGGGUUUACAAGUGCAUCCCACGGGGCCAGAGAGAGCACCAGGCUAGUAAGAGGAACCAGUGUGAGAUGGUAGAGUGGGGAAACCAGAGCACUGUAGCCCAGGAGAAAGGAGCUCCGUUUCCAGCUUACUUUGAUUGUGGUCACAUAAGAAAUCAGACCUAAUGAUGCCAGAGCUUUCAUUAUUUAUUUCUUGAGGCAGAGUAUCGCUCUGUCACCCAGGCUGCAGUGCAGUGGCGUGAUCUCAGCUCACUGCAACGUCUGCCUCCCGGGUUCAAGUAAUUCUAGUGCCUCAGCCUCCUGAGUAGCUGGGACCACACGUGUGCGCCACCACCCCUGGCUAAUUUUUUGUAUUUUUCUUGGAGAUGGGGUUUUGCCAUGUUGGCCAGGCUGGUCUCAAACUCUUGGCCUCAAGUGAUCCACCCCCCUCAGUCUCCCAAAGUGCUGGGAUUAUAGGCGUGAGCUACUGCACCUGGCCUGAUUCUUUUUUUUUUUUUUUUUGAGACGGAGUCUUACUCUGUCGCCCAGGCUGGAGUACAGUGGCCGGAUCUCAGCUCACUGCAAGCUCCGCCUCCCAGGUUCCUGCCAUUCUCCUGCCUCAGCC